AGCAGAGACACAAAGUGAACAGAGAAGCACUGAUCCAGGAGUACUUUCUAUGGAAGGAAAAGUAAAAUGUUAAAGAAUGUAGCUCCUUUAGUGGCUUCAUCUAGGUAAGAAAGACAGAUAAACUCUAAGCCAGUUUUCAAGUUUAGAGUUUGAAAAUGAGCACAUACAGUUAGUCACAGUAAAGCUCAGUCAGUAGCCAUGUCUAGGAGAAGAAUAGGUUUAAACACUGAAGACAGGUCCAAGUGUAUCAUAGAAGGUGAGCAUUAAGUUGUUGCCAGCAGAAACUUGGACGAUGCCUUCCUCCAGGGAGGUGUCACAGGAAGACACAGAGUCAGGCCAGGUGUAGCUUCUAGGAAGAAAAUAAAAGAGAUAACAUAAAGUUAAAAGCUGAAAUAACAGCAAAUAAUGCAAAAUUGGAGAGUAGAAUGAGAAUGUAGCAAGUUGAGGAAGUUAUUUUCAAAAUGUUAAUCAGAGGUACCAAACAGACCAGUGUUGAGAAUUUAAAGUAUUGCUAUGUAAAGAUGUGUUCUUCCUGGUACAGCUGCUGAACCACUUACUAGAGUUUUCAUAGAAAGUCAGAGAUUUAAAUGUAGAUCAGGAUUGUUCUGGUGGAUUUAUUUAUAUUAAACUGUUAAUUUCUCCUGAACCAGAAUCAACUGAAUGACUAAAGACUUCAGAGGACAUUACUAUAUCUGUUAAAGUUUACAGUGAUACUAUUAAUGAAAACAAACAAUAUGCAUAAAGUCCAAAAUACCUACACACCUUAAUCCAGUUUCCUCAACCAAACUUUGGAGCCAGUCACUACUUUAAGGUACAAAAACAUCCAUCAAUUUAGCCUCCUAGAGUUAAUCCAGCAUAAGUUUUAUUCUUAACCCUGUUUAAAAGAUAUUUUAUUGCACUGACAACACUAAAAAUACCUCCAACUCUUCUGAGCCCUACACUGCAGAGUCUCAGGAGGUUUCUACUAAAAAUUAUUCACACUGGAUGCUUUGUGAUGCUCUCUCUAAAGGAAGUAUACGAAGGUUUCACUUGCUUGGGGAAAAACGGAUCUCACAUAUUUCUUUACAAAGUUGGAUGAGAGCCAGAAAAGGUGUAAUGAUUUUUGUUUCAUUCUGAGUAGAACUAGGUGUGUGUUGGCGAGUCUUUGUAUAUAAAAAGGAGCAACUGUAAAAGAUCGUAGAGCUCAUCCUCAUGUUCUCUGAAGAAUAGUUGGAGUUUAUCAAACCUCAGCAUCCUGCAGAACCUGAACCACAAGGAGUGGAGAAGACUCAACAAAGGAAUUAGUCAGACCCUGACUGGAAGUCCAAUCAACAAUUUGAGAUCAUUUGGAUCUGCAAGUUGUGUUUCCAAAUCCCAAGCAAGGCAGACUGACACCAAAGAAGAAUCAACUCUGACAAUCAAGAUGUGCCUGUUACUGAUAACAACUCUCCUCCUUGUUGUGGUUGUUGUACUUUUGUUACACUGGAAGAACAUUAUCACUCUGACAGAUUUACUCGCAGCAGGAAAGAGAGUUUCAGAUGUAGUCAUCCCAGCAUUAGAUGAUCCUAAGAUAUCAGGAGCGCUAACACUGACUGUCACAGCAUUCUUCAUUUUGUCAAGUUCACUGACAACAACUCUGUUGGUCAUUGUUACUGUAACACUUUGGUUACAUUGGUUCAACAUCCUUCCACUGAAACAUUUAUUCAUAUUAACUUCAGAUUUUUACCAGUCAGUCACUGUGGGACUAAA